GGAAAAAAGACUACGUGACCGAAAGACUGAGACAGAAGAAAGUUUACUGAAGCGUUUGACGGCAGCCCGUGUAGAUUUGGAACUUAGUAAAGAGCCCGGCCUGUUUGACUUGGUCAUUAUAAACGAUGAUUUAGAAAAAGCCUAUUCUGAAUUGAAGGAGAUACUCCUGGAGGAAAUCAAGAAGACCCAAGAAUCCAGGAAGUCCUGAGCUGAGCCUGCUCGGAGAGGCUUUUAACUUUGCACAUCAUUCCCGAAGCAUGUCACACUGUUUUAUUCCAAGAGACAUUCCCUUUAGGCUGAUCCUCCUCCUGAGUUACUCUAGGAUGUUUCUAUUAAAAGGAAAGAAAA